CCCUGCCGGGGUCCCUGCCGGGGUCCCUGCCGGGCUCCGGGCGCUUCCUGCACUCCAGAAAGCCCUGUUCUAAGAGCUCUUCAUGCAAUAUCAGCUGACACUCACAGGAGCCUACAGAGAUAGAGAUCAUCGCCAUCCCUAGCUUGAGGCUGAAGAGACUGGAACACAGACAGGUCCAGUAACUUUCCCAAGGCCACACAGCUGGGAAACAGUAGCACUGGGAUUUGCACCUGUGCGGCCUGGAGAUGGGAGCCUGUGUUCCUCUUCCUACGCUUAGACAAGUGUGACGCUUCUGACCCCUAAUUCAGGGCUCUUUCCAAGAGAACGCCUGGUGGAGCCCCAUCCAGUUAGCUUUUAGUUGGAAAAAGCUACACGGACCACUUUUGCUGACUUAGUUUCCCUUCUUCUACACUUUGUUUGUUUUUUUGGUACCAGGGAUCGAACUUGUCGGAACCACUGAGCUAAAUCCCUGGCUCUUCUUCUAUACUUUGUGCCAGGCACUGCUGCUCAACCAGAUCAACCCGAAGUUUGGCAAACCGGCUUCUCUCCGGAGUUCAGAACACCUUUGGUGGCCUCUGCUGCCACCUGCUGGCCACAGCGGGGUAGACUGGUUUGUGGGUGUUUUCAGGCGUUCCUCUUUUUCUGUCUGCAUGAUGUCAUCCUCCCCUGUGGCCGUGGGACCAUCUACAUGCUGUUGACUCCCAAAUCUUUCCGUCUUCUGAGAUCCUGGUCUGUGUAUCUGGAUGCAAACGUCUCUGACCCUCCAGUCCCCUGACACCCCUCAAGUGACAAGGGUUCCUAAAAGGCAGAGCUGGAACCAGGCCCCAGGUCUCCCAGCUGCUGACUCAACCUUCACAUUUCCAACAGUGCAGCACCAGACACGGGCACAGUGACUGCCAGAGAAGGAAGAGAUAAAGAUCAGUGCUGGCUGGUGGCAGAGGCAGGAUUUGAACUCCAAUCAGAGUAGCGACCAAGCCAGGUUCUUUCUCUAGCACACUGUGACACUGCUGGAGGCAUGUCGGCUUCUAAAACACACAGCUAAGGAGUAUGGGCCAACAGAAGGACCCUGGCCAGGCACAGUGGCUGGACACAGGCUUGUGGCGAAAGUGUCGCUGGAAGGGGCGGGCGCUGACUUCCGUGCCAGGUUGCGGAAACUGAAUGGGUCCCAUGGACGAGAAAAGAUGAGGGCAGAGGGCGGGAAGAAGGAAUGGAACAAGGAAAA